AUUGAACGCUGGCGGCAGGCCUAACACAUGCAAGUCGAACGAGUGGCGGACGGGUGAGUAAUGUCUGGGAAACUGCCUGAUGGAGGGGGAUAACUACUGGAAACGGUAGCUAAUACCGCAUACCAUCGGAUGUGCCCAGAUGGGAUUAGCUAGUAGGGGGAGUAAAGGCUCACAGAGGCGACGAUCCCUAGCUGGUAUGAGAGGAUGACAAGCCACACGGGCACUGAGACACGGUCCAGACUCCUACGUGAGGCGGCAGUGGGGAAUAUUGCACAAUGGGCGCAAGCCGGAUGCAGCCAUGCCGCGUGUAUGAAGAAGGCCUUCGGGUUGUAAAGUACUUUCAGCGGGGAGGCGUUACCCGCAGAAGAAGCACCGGCUAACUCCGUGCCAGCAGCCGCGGUAAUAC
rnacentral:rRNA from 1 species